rnacentral:lncRNA from 1 species
CACUGUUAAUUGGAACAUACACCCAAAAAUUGUCUCUAACAGAUCCUGCCUUUUAACAUUGCCCAUGGCACAACUCAGGUACUGCAGAUCAGUCAUAACUCAACUUCGAAACCAGUUACAGAAGGAAUAUCAUCUGCAACACCAAAAGGCUCAAGGACUCCUUUAAUACUGCAAGAUACCAUCCUGUGUUGACUCCAAAUUCACUUCAAAGCCCGAAAGGAGGACACUGAGUUCUCUGAAAAUCAGUGGGAUGCUGGAAAGCUAAGACAUAAGCUAAGCUGCUUGUUACAAAGAUGCUGGCCAUCAUUCCAGAGAGGAUAUCACAGAUCUAACCCCAA